UAGCUUUAACCUUAAUGACAAAUAAAAUUAUUCUCUUUCCUUCAGUCAUAAGACCUGUGUUCAGUGUGUUUAGGGUUAUUAGUCCAACCCUAUGACCCACUUACAACCGUUAUGUAGAGGAUCUAUUUCCAAACGAAUUGUGAUAGAAAAAGACUUCAACUUCUCUUUAUUGAGGAAAUUCUGGCUAAGUUGCCGAUCACAAAACUUAAUAGGGUCGUAAAUUGUAGGGUUGGACGAAAGCAAACAGGAGUAGGCCCUUUGGUGGUUUUUUGUGACUUCUAGUGCCUGUGACUUGAUCGGAAAGAACUUUUUCUUUUUAUUAAAUCAAUGCAUGAACAACAAUAAUUCAGACUACACAUACGUGAUUGCAUCAACAUUUAUUUUUAUUUUUACCAGAAAGAAAACUUCGGGUCGGAGGAAAAAAUAAAAUAAAUAGCUAGUUCAGGUCCUUUUAUUUUUAUUUGAAUUUUUAAAAAAUAGGGUCGGCGGGUUUGUAAAUCGAAAUUUUAAAAAAUGCUGGCCUUAGUAAACACAGAUUUA